rnacentral:rRNA from 1 species
CCUACGGGAGGCAGCAGUGAGGAAUAUUGGUCAAUGGGCGGGAGCCUGAACCAGCCAAGCCGCGUGAGGGAAGAAGGUACAGCGUAUCGUAAACCUCUUUUGUCAGGGAACAAAGGCGGGGACUAGUCCCCGGAUGAGGGUACCUGAAGAAAAAGCCUCGGCUAACUACGUUCCAGCCGCCGCGGUAAUAGGGAGGAUGCGAGCGUUAACCGGAUUUAUUGGGUUUAAAGGGUGCGAAGGCGGCCUGUUAAGUCAGUGGUAAAAGCCCGGGGCUAAACCCCGGGGAGCCGUUGAAACUGGCGGGCGGGAGUUGGAGAGAGGUACGCGGAAUGCGCGGUGUAGCGGUGAAAUGCUUAGAGAUCGCGCAGAACCCCGAUUGCGAAGGCAGCGUACCGGCUCCACACUGACGCUGAGGCACGAAAGCGUGGGUAUCGAACAGGAUUAGAUACCCCGGUAGUC